GACGAACGCUGGCGGCGUGCUUAACACAUGCAAGUCGUACGGUAAGGCCCUUUCGGGGGUACACGAGUGGCGUACGGGUUAGUAACACGUCAGUAACCUGCCCACAACUUUGGGAUAACGCUAGGAAACUGGUGCUAAUACUGGAUAUGUGCUCCUUCUGCACGGUGGGGGUUGGAAAGCUCCGGCGGUUGUGGAUGGACUCGCGGCCUAUCAGCUUGUUGGUGGGGUAGUGGCCUACCAAGGCGGCGACGGGUAGCUGGCCUGGGAGGGUGACCGGCCACAUUGGGAUUGAGAUACGGCCCAGACUCCUACGGGAGGGAGCAGUGGGGAAUAGUGCACAAUGGGCGCAAGCCUGAUGCAGCAGCGCCGCGGGCGGGAUGACGGCCUUCGGGUUGGGAUCCGCAUUCAGCAGGGACGAAGCUUUUUGUGACGGUACCUGCAGAAGAAGCACCGGCUAACUACGUG
rnacentral:rRNA from 1 species